rnacentral:rRNA from 1 species
UACGUAGGGGGCAAGCGUUGUCCGGAUUUAUUGGGCGUAAAGAGCGUGUAGGCGGCUUUACAGGUCCGCUGUGAAAACUCGAGGCUCAACCUCGAGACGCCGGUGGAAACCGUAAAGCUAGAGUCCGGAAGAGGAGAGUGGAAUUCCUGGUGUAGCGGUGAAAUGCGCAGAUAUCAGGAGGAACACCCGUGGCGAAAGCGGCUCUCUGGGACGGUACUGACGCUGAGACGCGAAAGCGUGGGGAGCAAACAGG